CCUACGGGAGGCAGCAGUGAGGAAUAUUGGUCAAUGGACGGAAGUCUGAACCAGCCAUGCCGCGUGCAGGAUGACGGCUCUAUGAGUUGUAAACUGCUUUUGUACGGGAACAAUUGUUCUUACGUGUAGGGAUUUGACUGUAUCGUACGAAUAAGGAUCGGGUAACUUCGUGACAGGAGCCGAGGUAAUACCGAGUAUUCGAGCGUUAUCCGGUAUUAUUGGGUGUAAAGGGUGCGUACGAUGGUGGAUAACGUAGAGGUGAAAUGUUGGGGCUUAACCCCGUGCCUGCCUUUGAUACUGUUCGACUAGAGAGCGGGUGAAGCAGGCGGAAUGAGUAGUGUAGCGGUGAAAUGCUUAGAUAUUACGCAGAACACCGAUUGCGCAGGCAGCUUGCUAAUCCGCAACUGACGCUGAUGCACGAAAGCGUGGGUAGCGAACAGGAUUAGAUACCCGAGUAGUC
rnacentral:rRNA from 1 species